rnacentral:rRNA from 1 species
AUACAGAGGGUGCGAGCGUUAAUCGGAUUUACUGGGCGUAAAGCGUGCGUAGGCGGCUUUUUAAGUCGGAUGUGAAAUCCCUGAGCUUAACUUAGGAAUUGCAUUCGAUACUGGGAAGCUAGAGUAUGGGAGAGGAUGGUAGAAUUCCAGGUGUAGCGGUGAAAUGCGUAGAGAUCUGGAGGAAUACCGAUGGCGAAGGCAGCCAUCUGGCCUAAUACUGACGCUGAGGUACGAAAGCAUGGGGAGCAAACAGGAUUAGAUACCCUGGUAGUCCAUGCCGUAAACGAUGUCUACUAGCCGUUGGGGCCUUUGAGGCUUUAGUGGCGCAGCUAACGCGAUAAGUAGACCGCCUGGGGAGUACGGUCGCAAGACUAAAACUCAAAUGAAUUGACGGGGGCCCGCACAAGCGGUGGAGCAUGUGGUUUAAUUCGAUGCAACGCGAAGAACCUUACCUGGUCUUGACAUAGUAAGAACUUUCCAGAGAUGGAUUGGUGCCUUCGGGAACUUACAUACAGGUGCUGCAUGGCUGUCGUCAGCUCGUGUCGUGAGAUGUUGGGUUAAGUCCCGCAACGAGCGCAACCCUUUUCCUUAUUUGCCAGCGGGUUAAGCCGGGAACUUUAAGGAUACUGCCAGUGACAAACUGGAGGAAG